AAUGUAGUGGACGCGGUAAUCGUUGACGCAAAAGGUCGAACACUGGAUAGGCAUUCCAUGGGAGAAGAUAUGUUCUGGGCUGUUCGAGGAGGUGGAGGAAAUAGCUUCGGCGUCGCGGUGGCCUGGAAAGUAAAUCUAGUCGCCGUUCCUGAAAAAUUGACGGUAUUCAGAGUCAGUAGAACUCUAGAACAGAACGCUACAAAGCUCGUCCAUCAAUGGCAGACCGUAGCGAACGAGCUUCCAGAGGAUAUAAUAAUCAUGGCAACCAUACAGAAAGUAAACUCAACGAUCCAGGCCACAUUCAACUCGCUGUACCUCGGUGGAAUCGACGGCGUUCUUCAAUUGAUUCAAGAGAGAUUUCCAGACCUAGGGUUGGUGAAAUCGGACUGUACAGAGAUGAGCUGGAUAGAAUCAACCGUACAUUUCGCCAGGUUUCCGAGGAACACUCCUCCGGAGAUUCUGCUAAACAGGACGAUUACUCUCCUGACGGGAACGGCCAAGUACAAAGGGAAAUCCGAUUACGUCCAAGAACCUAUACCUGAAAUCGGAUGGGAAGGUGUGUGGAAGAAACUGGACGAAUUGGGGCCGAUGGCGGGUGCUUUGGUGAUGAUUCCUUACGGAGGAAAGAUGGAGGAGAUUCCGGAAUGGAGCUUGCCGUUCCCGCACAGAGCAGGGAACCUG
rnacentral:lncRNA from 1 species